rnacentral:rRNA from 1 species
AAAACAAUCCUACGGGAGGCAGCAGUCGAGAAUCAUUCACAAUGGGGGAAACCCUGAUGGUGCGACGCCGCGUGGAGGAUAAGGUCUUCGGAUUGUAAACUCCUGUCAUGCGAGAGCAAGGUUUUGUGGGUAACUCUGCAGAAUUUGAUAGUAUCGCAAGAGGAAGAGACGGCUAACUCUGUGCCAGCAGCCGCGGUAAUACAGAGGUCUCAAGCGUUGUUCGGAAUCACUGGGCGUAAAGGGUGCGUAGGCGGCGUGGAAAGUCAGAUGUGAAAUCCGGGGGCUCAACCUCCGAAUAGCAUCCGAUACUACCAUGCUAGAGAACUGGAGGGGAGUCUGG